rnacentral:rRNA from 1 species
GUAGUCAUAUGCUUGUCUCAAAGAUUAAGCUAUGCAUGUCUAAGUAUAAGCAAUUUAUACAGUGAAACUGCGAAUGGCUCAUUAAAUCAGUUAUCGUUUAUUUGAUAGUUCCUUUACUACAUGGUAUAACUGUGGUAAUUCUAGAGCUAAUACAUGCUUAAAAUCUCGACCUUUGGAAGAGAUGUAUUUAUUAGAUAAAAAAUCAAUGUCUUCGGACUCUUUGAUGAUUCAUAAUAACUUUUCGAAUCGCAUGGCCUUGUGCUGGCGAUGGUUCAUUCAAAUUUCUGCCCUAUCAACUUUCGAUGGUAGGAUAGUGGCCUACCAUGGUUUCAACGGGUAACGGGGAAU